GGGCCCGUGGCCUAGUAAACUGAAUUGCGUGCGACUAGUUUCGCAUUCAACUCGGUCUAGAGUGGAUAAGGCGUUGCCCCUCUAAGGCAGAGAUCGUGGGUUCAAAUCCCACCGGGCCCG
rnacentral:tRNA from 1 species